rnacentral:sRNA from 1 species
AGUUUGUAGCUCGCUCCUAUCGAAACAACAAGAAAAAAUAUCAACUUGAAAAUUCUAAAAUGGUCGUAGCAAUGCAGAAAUCUAUCCAGUGCGCUGUGGUUGGUGAUGGUUUCGUUGGGAAAUCAAGUUUGGUUCAGAAAUUCGUCAAUGGUAAAUUCGACAAGACUUAUAUCGCCACAUUAAAGGAUGAUUACAGUGCGAAGGUAUCCACAAACGGGGACGUAUUCAGACUGAAUGUGUCUGAUAUCGCCGGAGAGCAUGAAGACCUGUCCUCCAUUGCAACCUCUGAUAUCUUCAUUGUGUGCUUCAGUCUAGUAGACGAUGAUUCCAUGGAUAGCGUGCUAAACUUCUGGAUUCCUAAGAUCCGGGCAAUCGCUAAACAUUCACCCAUCAUUCUAGCAGGGAACACAGUCCGACCUGAGACAAGGGGGUAAAUCCGGCCACAUCGCCACUGCUGAGGGUCGGGCCCUAGCCAAGUCUAAUCGGGGCAGACACCUACGUAGAGUGUUCCGCCAAAUCUGGCUCGGGUGUCCAGGAAACCUUCCAGAGCGCCGCCAUGGCAAGCAUUCGAUACAGCAAAAGGAAGGUCAACAUCUUGAAACGAGUUCUUGGACGUUGAUGUGUUGGCCCGAGGAACUGUUAACUGAGCGGUCCCUGCACCGCUGUUAUAAACCUCUAACGAAUGGUCAGAGAGACUCCGAAUUGGCAAGUUUGACUGUGUUGGCUAUUGUAGUGGACAUUUAUCGCUACGACAACGGAAUCUCGGCAUCGUUCUCACUCUAUCCUUCCCGGCUACAGCUGCUCCUAUGCAGACCGCCCCAAGAAGCUCACAGACUCCUGAUACGUGAAGCAAAGGAAUAGAGGGAAAAUAUUGACAGAGUGUAAUUGUUAUUGAAACUCUAACAAAUUGUACUGCCUGUCUAUUUUCGACCAGAUGGUUUACCAUACAACCAUUUGAAUGAGUGUUUUAGUACUAAAAAUUGUAUUCAUAUUUCAAUAAAACUGUAAUUGU